GACGAACGCUGGCGGCGUGCUUAACACAUGCAAGUCGAGCGGAAAGGCCCUUCGGGGUACUCGAGCGGCGAACGGGUGAGUAACACGUGAGUAACCUGCCCCAGACUUUGGGAUAACCCUCGGAAACGGGGGCUAAUACCGGAUACGACACAGCUUCGCAUGGGGUCUGUGUGGAAAGUUUUUCGGUUUGGGAUGGGCUCGCGGCCUAUCAGCUGGUUGGUGGGGUGAUGGCCUACCAAGGCGACGACGGGUAGCCGGCCUGAGAGGGCGACCGGCCACACUGGGACUGAGACACGGCCCAGACUCCUACGGGAGGCAGCAGUGGGGAAUAUUGCGCAAGGGGCGGAAGCCUGAUGCAGCGACGCCGCGUGAGGGAUGACGGCCUUCGGGUUGUAAACCUCUUUCAGCAGGGACGAAGCGUAAGUGACGGUACCUGCAGAAGAAGCGCCGGCCAACUACGUG
rnacentral:rRNA from 1 species